GAGUGUAGGCUUUGCCUGCUAUCUCUUACCAUGUCUUUUGAGUACCUUACGUUUCCUCGGUGGGUUCGCCCGCCGGUUGGACAAAACUUAAACCCUUUGUAGUUGCAAUCAGCGUCUGAAAAAACUUAAUAGUUACAACUUUCAACAACGGAUCUCUUGGUUCUGGCAUCGAUGAAGAACGCAGCGAAAUGCGAUAAGUAGUGUGAAUUGCAGAAUUCAGUGAACUCAUCGAAUCUUUGAACGCACAUUGCGCCCCUUGGUAUUCCAUGGGGCAUGCCUGUUCGAGCGUCAUUUGUACCUUCAAGCUCUGCUUGGUGUUGGGUGUUUGUCUCGCCUUUUGCGUGUAGACUCGCCUCAAAACGAUUGGCAGCCGGCGUAUUGAUUUCGGAGCGCAGUACAUCUCGCGCUUUGCACUCAUAACGACGACGUCCAAAAAGUACAUUUUACACUCUUGACCUCGGAUCAGUAGGGAUAC
rnacentral:rRNA from 1 species